CAGCUCCGGGCGCCUGGCUGUUGACAUGGGUUACAGGAAUUCAACACGGAAGUGGAGCCUAAGCAGCUCCUCACGGAUGCGCUUUCCAGCAGGAGCCGAGGGGGGCCGCACACCUUGGGAGGAAGCGGGCGCGGCAGCAGCUGGACGGAUACAGCCCGAAGCCCCCCGCGGUUUGUCAACAGCUGCUCCUCUCCUGCGUGGCGCUCGCAGUGGCGGCGAAUGCCCAGCAGAGGCCGCUGUGGCCCGAGCGUCCGGGCCGGGCUCUGAUCCAGACCUACAGGGAGCGUGAAAUGCGGACGAGACCGCGAGGGCUCCGUGCCAAAGAAGAGUGUCGAACAUCGCGCCGAUGUUUUUAGGUCAUGAUGUCUUCAUCGGUGUUCAGAGGAGGCCAGCUGGGCCACACAGCAGCAGCCUGAUGACUCCGAGUGAGCCGCGGCCUUGGGUCUGGACAUCUUCUUGCCAUGCAGUGCCAUUGGCUAAGAGCCCCUCGUUGGCAAGGCAUCGAGAAUCCAUCUCCUUAAGGCCUGGCGCUGGCACGGUAUUAGAUGCUGAGAGGCAAGGUGGACUUCGAGGAAGACAAGACUGGAGCAGCGAGGAGGCAUCUGUGAACAAGACAACUGUCCAACGCAGGGGCAAAGGUGGAAGGAGCCUCGUGCUGGUCGGUGAGAGGUCCUGGCUGGAAGCCACCGCUGUGCAAGGCUGGUGACCUAGAAAACCCGCCCAGGCCGAGCCCCUGGGAUCGGCAGACAUCUCAGGCCCCAUCUGCUCUGCUUUCUGCUGCACUGGAGUUGCUAAUAGCAAAGAGACUGUAGAUUUCCUCCCAUGUUUUUAGUUGUAAAAGGAUGGAAUUGGUUUUAAUGGGGUGGACUGUGGGCUAUAUCUUACAGCCUCCUUUCCUGGGGAGACCCCAUGGACAGUGGCCUUAUCAGGGGAAAGUUCCCCCCAGUUUCUGCUGAGCCACAGAAGCUUCCUCCCUGGGGGCUUCCUGCCUCCAUGACCUCAGGGUUAGGGCUUCAGGGAGCCAGUGCUCACCAGAGUCCGUGCCCUUCCUUUCCCCUGGGAACCUGGUCUUCAAGUGCUACUUCUGCUUGCACUUCUCAAGGUGCAGCUGUUGUCCAUGGAGACCCAAAGGACUCUGUCUUGAUGACUCUGAAGGAAAGCAAUUGGGGUUUGCCCUCCAUCAUUUGUGUUUCGCUAUCAGAGGUUAAAUAAAAAUGAUUGCUUUGGCAAUAAAGAAAAAGGAAUGAAUUCAAUAAAGGGAUUAAAU
rnacentral:lncRNA from 1 species